GAAAUAUAUUAUAAUUAGGCUACUAACUUAAUUUUUAGUGAUUUAAUUUCAUUAAUAUUUCU
rnacentral:tRNA from 1 species